GUCUACGGCCAUACAGUGAACGCACCUGAUCUCGUCUGAUUUCGGAAGCUAAGCAGGGUCGGGCCUGGUUAGUACUUGGAUGGGAGAAAUUAAUGUGAUGAUUUCAGGUUUCCCAUCCA
rfam:Cavia porcellus supercont2_14 genomic scaffold, whole genome shotgun sequence.